GUGGCGGACGGGUGAGUAACGCGUGAGAACCUGCCUCUAGGAUGGGGACAACAGUUGGAAACGACUGCUAAUACCCAAUAUGCAGAAAUGUGAAAAUUAUUUUGCCUGGAGAGGGGCUCGCGUCCGAUUAGUUAGUUGGUGAGGUAAGAGCUUACCAAGGCAGCGAUCGGUAGCUGGUCUGAGAGGAUGAGCAGCCACACUGGGACUGAGACACGGCCCAGACUCCUACGGGAGGCAGCAGUGGGGAAUUUUCCGCAAUGGGCGAAAGCCUGACGGAGCAAUACCGCGUGAGGGAGGAAGGCUUUUGGGUUGUAAACCUCUUUUAUUAAGGAAGAAGAAAGUGACGGUACUUAAAGAAUCAGCAUCGGCUAACUCCGUGCCAGCAGCCGCGGUAAUACGGAGGAUGCAAGCGUUAUCCGGAAUCAUUGGGCGUAAAGCGUCCGCAGGUGGUCAUUCAAGUCUGCUGUUAAAGACAGAAGCUCAACUUCUGAUAGGCGGUGGAAACUGGAUGACUAGAGUAUGGUAGGGGUUGAGGGAAUUCCCAGUGUAGCGGUGAAAUGCGUAGAUAUUGGGAAGAACACCAGUGGCGAAGGCGCUCGACUGGGCCAUAACUGACACUCAGGGACGAAAGCUAGGGUAGCGAAAGGGAUUAGAUACCCCUGUAGUCCUAGCUGUAAACGAUGAACACUAGGCGUUGCUUGUAUCGACCCGAGCAGUGCCGUAGCCAACGCGUUAAGUGUUCCGCCUGGGGAGUACGCACGCAAGUGUGAAACUCAAAGGAAUUGACGGGGCCCGCACAAGCGGUGGAGUAUGUGGUUUAAUUCGAUGCAACGCGAAGAACCUUACCA
rnacentral:rRNA from 1 species